AUGCAAGCAAGCAAGCAAGCACGUGGAAAGAAACAGAGGGGCCAAACCGACUGUGUUCACUUUGCUUCGUCGCUAAAGCCUCCGGCCGCGUUCCUUCUGCACAAGAAUCCGAUCCCCAUCCCCAUACCGCCAAACCAGUUACAACUCUCCUCCUCCUACCCCGGCGAAUCUCGACCUGGACAAAGCAGCGGCCGGCCGACGCCGGCGCCAACGGACGGGGGAUCCCAUCCCAUGGAGGAGGCCUGCGAGAUCGCGCGCCUGCCGGAGGAGCUCCUCUCGGCGGCGCUGGCCCGCACGUCCCCGCGCGACGCCUUCCGCGUGGCCGCCGUCUCCCCGGCCUUCCGCGCCGCGGCCGACUCCGACGACGUCUGGGCCAGCUUCCUGCCCCCCGGCGGCCUCCCGCCGCUCGCCGACGGGGAGCUGCCCCCGCCCUCGUCCAAGAAGGAGCUCUUCCUCCGCCUCUCCGCCGGCCCCGUCCUCCUCCAGGACAGGCUCGUGGUACGUACUACCUGUACGCUCACCCUGCCUAGCUAG
rnacentral:rRNA from 1 species